rnacentral:rRNA from 1 species
AUGGCCGGCGGCGAGCAGCUCCUAGUCCAAGAGUCCGCUGUCCCAGUCAUCUCCAGCGGCGCCGACUCGUCAACCCCGGCCGUUCGACUGGCCCACUUCCUCCACCCCCGCGCGGGCGCCGGCCAGCGCCCCCCUCUACCCCCUCCGCCCCGCAACGCCGGCCCUAUUCUCACCGACGGGCUCCAGGUCGAGUUCAAGGGCUGGGCGGAAGCUCCAAAUCUGUGGACGCGGUGGGUGGCCAAGCUCCGCCCGCGGUGCGAGCCCCUGUGGCGGAAGCUUGGGAUCCAGGACGCCGUCCUCGCGACCACCUACCGGGUGCGGCGCGACGAGCGCGCGAUGCUCCAGCUCGCCGCCAUCUGGUCCGCCGAGACCAACACGUUCGUGUUCCCCUGGGGCGAGGCGACGGUGACGCUGGAGGACGUGGCCGUGCUCGGGGGGCUGCCCUUGCUCGGCAGGCCCGUGCGCGCGCCGCCGAAGGGCGCGCUUCGCGAGGAUGUGGAGGCGCUCGAGGGCGUUCGCCGCGCGCUCUACCAGAGCGACAGCCAGAGACCGGACCACUCCGCGUGGGCGAUGCCGUUCCUUGAGCCCCCGGCAGGAGAGGGGCCCGCCGCGGGCGACGGCGGAGCCACCGGGUUACUGGAGCACGGGGCGUUCCUGGCCAUGUGGCUGUCGCUCUUCGUGCUGCCGGCGCCGCCGUUCGACGUGGUCCGGGCAGAGGUGCUCCCCGUCGCCGCCCGGCUGGCGCGCGGCGGCUGCGUGGCGCUCGGACCCGCCGCUCUCGCCAGCAUCUACAGCGACCUCUCCGCGCUGAACCGCUACAUCAAUCUGGACAAGAGAUACCAGCCGUUCGUGGGGUGGGCGCCGCUGCACAUCCUCCAGCUCUGGGUCUUGGCCAGGUUCCCGGAGCUUCGCCCUGAAAUGGCGACCACUCUCGACCCCGUCGCCCGUCACCAGCCUUGGGCCGCCCGGUGGCACCAAGUCCACAAGGGAAUUGACCCCAUAAAUCUUCACAGAGUGUUCAUGUUGCCAAUGGAGUUUGAGUGGAGGCCCUAUGGAAGCUUCACCUUUGCUCCGUCUCCCAGGAAGAGUUGCUCUUGGGUUCAUGGCCGGGACAUGGCAAGAAGUCUACAACUGCUAUCCUUUGCACAGUGUCUGCGUGCUUGCGAGCUUGUAGGCAUGCGCUGCAUUGAGCAGUACAAUCCUCAUCGUGUUGCAAGGCAGCUUGGCUUCGAUCAGGACGUGCCUGGGUCUGUUGCCCGUGUUAACUCAGACUGGAAGAUUGCUUGGGGAACAUACUUUAUGGAGCCUAGCAAUUUCGCCUUCAUCGUUCCGCAGUAUACGCUGGCUGUGACGUUUGAGUACACACGAUGGUGGAGGCCGUACGCUUCUGGGUGUGAUACUGCCAUUGAUAACAACGUAAAUCCGAAAGAAUUUCCUGUUUUGGUUGGCCCAAGGGACAAAAACAUGGAGGUGCUUCAUGAUGAUAAUUCGGGCAAGAAGCAGCAUGUGCUCCCAGGGAUGUCUCGGCCAGAUACUUUUGAGGUAUUUUUUUCGAGAUUAAAUACUUUCGAGGUUUCACAGACUGACAUUCCUCUUGUUGAAAAACUCAAUGGCCUGGACACCAUUCAGGGUACCCUGGAACAUCUUGUGGAAGUUGCCCGGUCAGCACAAAUUGCGGAUAGUUUGACCCUGAGAUGUGUAAGAAAGGGCACACAAACUAAAAAUGUGAAACAAGCUUCACCUGAUGUCUUCGCUAAACAGAAUAGCAGCUCAGAACAUGGUGAAGUAGCUCCCCGUCACCUUGUCAAGCGAGCAGUAAGCACAACCAACAGAAAAGCUAUUGGGGCAACUGUAGGUCAUGUGCAGCCCAGUCUUGAAGACAUCGUGGUGAUGCUUGAUGAAGAGUUCGACGAAUCAGUGGGCAAGGAACAUGAGGUGGGUGCAACUGUAGGUCAUGCGCAGCCAAGUCUUGAGGACGUCAUUGUGAUCAGUGAUGAAGAGUUUGACGAAUCAGUGGGCAAGGAACAUGGGGUGGGUGCAAUGCCGAGGGAAGGUAAUGAAAAAGCUAAUGAAGAUGCAUCAGCAUCAAACCAACAAUCAGAUACCCUUAUGGAAGACUGCACAGUGGUCAACAGGAAGAGCUCAGGAAAUAAUAAGAUGUAUUCUUGCAAUCCAGUAGAUGCAAAUCCUGAACUGGUCGAGAGGGUUUCAACUAAAACACUUUACUAUCUUAGACCAAUUGGGCCCGUGAAAGAUGCUCAGGAAAGAGAUGCAACUGGAACGAAUACGGAUCAAGGAGCUUACCUACCAAGACGUGAAGUUGGGACGAGGGAAAUGAUUGAGGAGGCUUCUGCUGCUCGAGAAGCUGAAAAGGUUGUGUUGCAAAAAGUAAUUGAUUCUCUGAAGGAAGAGAUUGCAGCAGCACAGGCCCUUGGGGCCUUGAGGGAUGGAAGCCCCUCAAAAACCUGA